UCGUGCCCGGACCCUGUCGCAC
rnacentral:sRNA from 1 species